GUCUUUUUGUUAUACAAAUAUAAAAAGUCAGACCUGCCCGGUGAAUAUUUAUUUAAACGGCCGCGGUAUUUUGACCGUGCAAAGGUAGCAUAAUCAGUUGUCUUAUAAUUGAAGACUGGAAUGAAUGGUUAAACGAAAUUAGAGCUGUUUCAUUUGUAUUUAUUAGAAAUUGGCUUUUAAAUGAAGAGAUUUAAAUUUGAUUAAGGGACAAGAAGACCCUAUUGAGCUUUAAAUAAUUUAAAGGGUUAAAGUUAUUAUAAAGAUCUAUGAUCUUUAGUAUUUUUUUAGUUGGGGCGACUAAGGAACAGGCGAAGCUUCCUUUAUUUAUUUAAUUGAUAGAUUUUGAUCCUGUAUUACUGAUUAAGAGAAAUAGUUACCAUAGGGAUAACAGCAUAAUCUUCUUGGAGAGUUCUUAUUAAAAAGGGGGGUUGUGACCUCGAUGUUGGACUAAAAUAUCCUAAGGGUGUAGAAGCUUUUAAGGGUUGGUCUGUUCGACCAUUAAAAUUUUACA
rnacentral:rRNA from 2 species